rnacentral:piRNA from 1 species
UGUCAGGGGAAAAAGCAAUUUAUGCUAUCC